rnacentral:tRNA from 2 species
ACAUUUUUAUUAUAAAAAAUAUACCUGACUUCCAAUUAGGAGACCUUGGUCUAAACCCAAGAAAAUGUA